AAUGAACGUUGGCGGCAUGGAUUAGGCAUGCAAGUCGAGCGAGAAGUGUAGCAAUACACGGAAAGCGGCGGAAGGGAGAGUAAUACGUGGGAAUCUGCCCUUAGACCUGGGAUAGCAGCGGGAAACUGCUGGUAAUACCAGAUAAUGUCUAUGGACCAAAGGUGUGAUUCCGUCUAGGGAUGAGCCCACGUCCUAUUAGCUAGUUGGUAGGGUAAUGGCCUACCAAGGCGAUGAUGGGUAGCGGGUGUGAGAGCAUGACCCGCCUCACUGGGACUGAGACACUGCCCAGACACCUACGGGUGGCUGCAGUCGAGGAGCUUCGGCAAUGGGCGCAAGCCUGACCGAGCGAUGCCGCGUGCGGGAUGAAGGCCUUCGGGUUGUAAACCGCUGUCGAGGGGGAGCAACUUCCAUAGAGUUAUCUUUAUGGAUUGAGUUAUCCCUGGAGGAAGGACGGACUAAGUUCGUGCCAGCAGCCGCAGUAAAAC
rnacentral:rRNA from 1 species